UACGAAGGGGGCAAGCGUUGUCCGGAAUUAUUGGGCGUAAAGAGCUCGUAGGCGGCUUGUCACGUCGGGUGUGAAAGCCCGGGGCUUAACCCCAGUCCUGCUUCCGAUACGGGUGGACUAGAGGUAGGCAGGGGGAGAACGGAAUUCCUGGUGUAGCGGUGAAAUGCGCAGAUAUCAGGAGGAACACCGGUGGCGAAGGCGGUUCUCUGGGCCUUACCUGACGCUGAGGAGCGAAAGCGUGGGGAGCAAACAGG
rnacentral:rRNA from 1 species